CGAACGGGUGAGUAACGCGUGAGUAACCUGCCCUGGAGUGGGGGACAACAGUUGGAAACGACUGCUAAUACCGCAUAAGCCCACGACCCGGCAUCGGGUAGAGGGAAAAGGAGCAAUCCGCUUUGAGAUGGCCUCGCGUCCGAUUAGCUAGUUGGUGAGGUAAUGGCCCACCAAGGCGACGAUCGGUAGCCGGACUGAGAGGUUGAACGGCCACAUUGGGACUGAGACACGGCCCAG
rnacentral:rRNA from 1 species